rnacentral:rRNA from 1 species
GACGAACGCUGGCGGCGCGCCUAACACAUGCAAGUCGAACGGAGUUUACUUUUCAGAUCCCUUCGGGGUGAAGAGUUGUAAACUUAGUGGCGGACGGGUGAGUAACACGUGAGUAAUCUGCCUUUGUGAGGGGGACAACAGUUGGAAACGACUGCUAAUACCGCAUGAUGUGUUUUUCCCGCAUGAGAGAAACACCAAAGAUUUAUCGCACAAAGAUGAGCUCGCGGCUGAUUAGAUAGUUGGCGGGGUAACGGCCCACCAAGUCGACGAUCAGUAGCCGGACUGAGAGGUUGAUCGGCCACAUUGGGACUGAGACACGGCCCAG